UACGGAGGGGGCUAGCGUUGUUACGGAAUUACUGGGCGUAAAGCGCACGUAGGCGGCUUUGUAAGUUAGAGGUGAAAGCCCGGGGCUCAACUCCGGAAUUGCCUUUAAGACUGCAUCGCUAGAAUUGUGGAGAGGUAAGUGGAAUUCCGAGUGUAGAGGUGAAAUUCGUAGAUAUUCGGAAGAACACCAGUGGCGAAGGCGACUUACUGGACACAUAUUGACGCUGAGGUGCGAAAGCGUGGGGAGCAAACAGG
rnacentral:rRNA from 1 species